rnacentral:rRNA from 1 species
GAGCCUACGGGAGGCAGCAGUGGGGAAUAUUGCACAAUGGGCGAAAGCCUGAUGCAGCAACGCCGCGUGAAGGAAGACGGUUUUCGGAUUGUAAACUUCUGUUCUUAGUGAAGAAUAAUGACGGUAACUAUGGAGCAAGCCACGGCUAACUACGUGCCAGCAGCCGCGGUAAUACGUAGGUGGCAAGCGUUAUCCGGAUUUACUGGGUGUAAAGGGAGCGUAGACGGUGAGACAAGUCUGAAGUGAAAGCCCGGGGCUCAACCCCGGGACUGCUUUGGAAACUGCCUGACUGGAGUGCUGGAGAG